UACAGAGGGGGCAAGCGUUGUUCGGAAUUACUGGGCGUAAAGGGCGCGUAGGCGGCCUUCUAAGUCGAACGUGAAAUCCCCGGGCUCAACCCGGGAACUGCGUCCGAAACUGCCUGGCUAGAGUCCCGGAGACGGAAGGCAGAAUUCCCGGUGUAGGGGUGAAAGUCCGUAGAUAUCGGGAGGAAUACCAGCGGCGAAGGCGGGUCUCUGGACAGUUCCUGACGCUGAGGCACGAAGGUCAGGGAGCAACGGGG
rnacentral:rRNA from 1 species